AGGCAGCAGUCGGGAAUAUUGCGCAAUGGAGGAAACUCUGACGCAGUGACGCCGCGUGCAGGAUGAAGGUUUUCGGAUUGUAAACUGCUUUAGAUAGGGAAGAAAAAAAUGACGGUACCUAUAGAAUAAGCUCCGGCUAACUACGUGCCAGCAGCCGCGGUAAU
rnacentral:rRNA from 1 species